UUCCAGCCAAUUAAGCCAACUGUGCUCUUUUCCCCGUGGGGGCCCGGUGUGCAAUGGCUGCAAACAGCAGCCUCCUCGGUGGUACGUGCAGCCUGUUGCCUGUACGGUUGCCCUCAGGGACGCUGGAUUCGGCC
ensembl:snoRNA SNORA70 Small nucleolar RNA SNORA70